UUUUGCAGACAAACCCAGAGCUCCUCAAAGGCAAGCCUGUCAGGAAGAGACGGAAACAAAUCCAGUGUAGAAGCAGCUGUGCUCUGCAUGAACGGACACUGUGCUUAGGGACAUAGUUUAGUGGUGGACCUGGCACUAUUCAGUUAAUGGUUGGACUUGAUAUCAGACUUCUUUUCCAACCUUAAUGAAUUAAUUAUUUUAAGGA